rnacentral:misc_RNA from 1 species
UUUUGAUCCAGCCCAGUUGAUUUCUUCUCCAUUUUUUCCCUUCCUAUCUUUGUUUCUUGAGUUGAUUUAUCUCUCUUUGCUUGUGGGGUUUCCCAUCCAUCACAUCCAUGGCGACUGAAAACCCUUUCAAUAGCAUCUUGAAGACCCUUGAGAAUCCUGAAGGGGGUGUGUUUGGAAAGUACUAUAGCUUGCCUUCUCUGAACGAUCCUAGAAUCGAAAGGCUUCCAUACUCCAUUCGGAUACUUCUCGAAUCUGCCAUUCGAAACUGCGAUGAGUUCGCGGUCAAGGCUAAGGAUGUCGAGAAGAUUAUUGAUUGGGAGAACACCUCUCCCAAACUGGUUGAAAUUCCUUUCAAACCUGCUAGAGUGCUGCUUCAGGAUUUUACUGGUGUGCCUGCUGUUGUUGAUCUUGCUUGCAUGCGAGAUGCAAUGAACAGGCUUGGUGGUGAUUCCAACAAGAUUAAUCCCUUGGUUCCAGUAGAUCUUGUCAUUGACCACUCAGUUCAGGUCGAUGUGGCAAAAACAGAAAAUGCAGUACAGGCAAAUAUGGAACUCGAAUUUAAACGAAAUAGAGAAAGAUUUGGCUUUCUGAAAUGGGGGUCGAGUGCUUUCCAUAACAUGCUUGUCGUACCUCCAGGAUCUGGUAUAGUUCACCAGGUUAAUCUGGAAUACCUUGGCCGAGUGGUAUUCAACACAAAUGGCUUGCUUUACCCUGAUAGUGUUGUGGGAACCGAUUCACAUACAACGAUGAUUGACGGAUUGGGCGUUGCUGGUUGGGGUGUUGGUG